rnacentral:lncRNA from 1 species
GCCCUCCUUCUCCUUCCACCCACCCACCCCGACACCCCUUGUCCCUCCCCCAACCACUCUGAACGGAUAGACAGGGGGAGAUUCAUCUUCGUCGUCGCACCCAGCUGCUGCUACUGCCAGUGCCACGUGCCUUGCAAGGAACGAGAAUAACAUCCCCACUGGGAAGUGAGAAUUCAAUGAAAUGAUUUCAACUCAGCAGCCAGCAUAAAGGAAAUGUGUCCUUGUACCCUUAGUAUAACGGUAACAGUCUGUGUUGAAUGACCCAUAACAAUGGCAAGGCGAUAUGGAAGCACAGGUUCCAUCCCUGGACUAGUGCAGUGGAUUAAGAAACUGGCAUUGGCACAACUAUGGGUGAAAGUAAAGUGCUACCUUCAGGGAGCACACCUCCCAAGAGAUGCGUGAAAUCAAUGAGAACUCCAAUGUCUAUUUGUCAGUAAAGAUGUGUGAAGUUCGAUGGCUCUUUUGGGACUGGACCACUAGUUAAAGAUUCUAAAGCCAAAUUAAGUGGCACAUAGAUGCUAAAACUCUCAAGAGACCUUUGAAGAAUGAAAUGUGAAAACGGAGACAAACUUAGAGAAUGGCUGCUGGCAUAGACCUGAGCUUCCCAAAGAAGAUGGAAAUGGAACAUCACACAAAUGAAAAAGACAGAAGAGAACAUUAACACUCUGUUGCCAAAAAGAAUAAGAAAAAAAGAUCGAAGAAGGACCUUUAAAAAUAUGUAAACAAAUAAAUGAAUGCAAUUUGAAAAGAAAUAUCCUUUUGAUAUUUUAAAAUACCGCUCUUUCAUAGCUACUGCCUGAUUGUCAAUCCUUUGAUGAGUACUCAUUUCAAAAUUAUUAUUAUUAUUAUUUGAAAGGUAAAUAUUUAAAUGUGAAUGUAAAUUAGGAAAAAUAUUUUCAAAUUACCAUAUUAAAUUUUAUUAAAUGCUUGGAUC